UACCGGAAGAUGCCACCAAAGAAAGAAAGCAUUUGAAUGGUAAAUAAGGGAUUCUCCGGCAGUGUCUCAUUUCCUGGGGGGUCAGACUGUCGGAGCCGUAUAAAAAGGCCACCAUCGGACCAGGUUCUUCAUUCGCUUGCCUUCGCUUGCCUUCACUGCCUCUUCCAUCUGUGAACAGUUGGUUCACCUCAAGAGACGCCAACAUGAACUGCUGCGGUGGAGGAGGAGGAUGCAGGCUUAUCCUGAUCAACAACGGCGGCGGUGGCGGCGGCGGCUGCGACUGCGACUGCAACUGUGGCGGCGGUAACAA